rfam:Brachypodium distachyon strain Bd21 chromosome 4, whole genome shotgun sequence.
UUGUUACUCCCUCCAUCCAAUAAAAGAUGUCUCAAGUUUGUCAAAAUUUGAAUGUAUCUAAACAUAACUUAGCGUAUAGAUGCAUUCAAAUUUGAUCAAACUUGAGACAUCCUUUGUUGGACGGAAGGACUAAAUU